ensembl:lncRNA
CAAUCAUUUGAGAAACCAAGGCUGUCGAGUCUGCCAAUAAGAAUGUUGUGAUUGACAGAGUUGAAAGCCUUGGCCAGGUCGAUCAAUACGGCUGCACAGUAAUGUCUCUUAUCGAUGGCGGUUAUGAUGUCGUUUAGAACCUUGAGCGUGGCUGAGGUGCACCCAUGACCAGCUCUGAAACCAGAUUGCUUAGCAGAGAGGGUAUGGUAAGAUUCGAAAUGGUCGGUAAUCUGUUUGUUGACUUGGCUUUCGAAAACCUUAGAAAGGCAGGGUAGGAUAGAUAUUGGUCUGUAGCAGUUUAGGUCAAGAGUGUCUCCCCCUUUGAAGAGGGGGAUGACAGCGGCAGCUUUCCAAUCUUUGGAAAUCUCAGACGAUACGAAAGAGAGGUUGGACAGGCUAGUAAUAGGGGUGGCAACAAUUUCGGCAGAUCAUUUUAGAAAGAAAGGGUCCAGAUUGUCUAGCCCGGCUGAUUUGUAGCGGUCCAGAUUUUGCAGCUCUUUCAGAACAUCAGCUGACUGGAUUUGGGAGAAGGAGAAAUGGGGAAGGCUUGGGUGAGUUGCUGUGGGGGGGUGCAGUGCUGUUGACCGGGGUAGGGGUAGCCAGGUGGAAAGCAUGGCCAGCCGUAGAAAAAUGCUUAUUGAAAUUCUCAAUUAUAGUGGAUUUAUCGGUGGUGACAGUGUUUCCUAUCUUCAGUGCAGUGGUCAGCUGGGAGGAGGUGUUCUUAUUCUCCAUGGACUUUACAGUGUCACGGAACUUUUUUGAGUUAGUGUUGCAGGAAGCAAAUUUCUGCUUGGAUAAGCUAGCCUUGGCUUUUCUAACUGCCUGUGUAUAAUGGUUUCUAGCUUCCCUGAAAAGCUGCAUAUCACAGGGGCUGUUCGAUGCUAAUGCAGAACGCCAUAGGAUGUUUUAGUGUUGGUUAAGGGCAGUUAGGUCUGGGGAGAACCAAGGGCUAUAUCUGUUCCUGGUUCUAAAUUUCUUGAAUGGAGCAUGCUUAAUUAAGAUGGUUAGGAAGGCAUUCAAAAAAAAUAACCAGGCAUCCUCUACUGACGGGAUGAGAUCAAUAUCCUUCCAGGAUACCCCGGCCAGGUUGAUUAGAAAGGCCUGCUCGCUGAAGUGUUUCAGGGAGCAUUUGACAGUAAUGAGUGGAGGUCGUUUGACCGCUGACCCAUUACGGAUGCAGGCAAUGAGGCAGCGAUCGCUGAGAUCUUGGUUGAAGACAGCAGAGGUGUAUUUAGAGGGCAAGUUGGUUAGGAUGAUAUCUAUGAGGGUGUCCAUGUUUACGGCUUUGGGGAGGUAGCUGGUAGGUUCAUUGAUAAUUUGUGUGAGAUUGAGGGCAUCAAGCUUAGAUUGUAGGAUGGCUGGGUUGUGAAGCAUGUUCCAGUUUAGGUCGCCUAGCAGCACGAGCUCUGAAGAUAAAUGGGAGGCAAUCAGUUCACAUAUGGUGUCCAGAGCACAGCUGGGGGCGAGUGGUUUAUAGCAGGCGGCAACAGUGAGAGACUUGUUUUUAGAAAGGUGGAUUUUUAAAAGAAGUUCAAAUUGUUUGGGUCCAGACGUGGAUAUUAGGACAGAACUUGGCUGUUCUAUCUUGUCUGAAAAUGUUGUAGUUAGGGAUGAAAAUUUCUGAAUUUUUGGUGGUCUUCCUAAGCCAGGAUUCAGACACAGCUAGAACAUCCGGGUUGGCAGAGUGUGCUAAAGCAGUGAAUAACACAAACUUAGGGAGGAGGCUUCUAAUGUUAACAUGCAUGAAACCAAGGCUAUUACGGUUACAGAAGUCAUCAAAAGAGAGCGCUUGGGGAAUAGGAGUGGAGCUAGGCACUGCAGGGCCUGGAUUCUCCUCUACAUCACCAGAGGAAAAGAGGAGAAGUAGGAUAAGGGUACGGCUAAAAGCAAUGAGAAUUGGUCGUCUAGAACGUCUGGAACAGAGAGUAAAAGGAGGUUUCUGGGGGCGAUAAAAUAGCUUCAAGGUAUAAUGUACAGACAAAGGUAUGGUAGGAUGUGAAUACAGUGGAGGUAAACCUAGGUAUUGAGUGAUGAUGAGAGAGAUAUUGUCUCUAGAAACAUCAUUGGAACCAGGAGAUGUCAUCGCAUGUGUGGGUGGUGGAACUAAUAGGUUGGAUAAGGUAUAGUGAGCAGGACUAGAGGCUCUACAGUGAAAUAAGCCAAUAAACACUAACCAGAACAGCAAUGGACAAGGCAUAUUGACAUUAAGGAGAGGCAUGCUUAGUCGAGUGAUCAAAAGGGUCUAGUGAGUUGUGAGGUUGGUUGGGGUCUAGGCGAUUCAGACAGCUAGCUGGGCCAUCGGUAGAAAGCUAGCAUAGGAUGGAGGUCUGUUUUUAGCCACCUCGUGCGUUUCCGUCGGUAGGAUUAGUGGGGUUCCGUGUGGUAGAGGGGAUCAAUCCAAUUCGCAAAAAAAAAAAAAAUUUAGUUAUAGAGGCCCAAGAAGAAAAAAAUAUUUUAAAAAAUGUAAAAAAUGUUUGAGCAUGGUGUGUUUAUUCAAGUUACGCCGUUUUUUUCUCCAUCAACAAGGGUUACGAUUUCGAAUGUACCACCGUUUAUUCCCAAUGAGCUAUUGGAGCACAAGUUAUUGUGGUUUGGCCCAGCUCUGAAACAGGUGAUGUUGUUUCGGCGACAGGUGUUUAUGUUUUUGAGCUCACCGGAGCAGACUUUGGAGUUAUCCUUUAAUGUCAAGUAUGACAACAGACUGUAUAUGGCUAGUACAGGAAUAUGCUAGUACAGGAAGUAUAUAUAUAUAUGCUAGUACAGGAAGUCAACAGUGUUUUGAGUGUGGGGAUGUUGGACAUAAGCCAUAAGGGUUCAGGUGGAGCUAGGCUCCCAGGUAGUGGAGGAGAUGUCCAUUUUGAGUAAUGGGGUUCAGGUGGAGCUAGUCUCCCAGGUAGUGGAGGAGAUGUCCAUUAUGAGUAAUGGGGUACAGGAGGGGGUUCAGGUGGAGCUAGUCUCCCAGGUCGUGGAGGAGAUGUCCACUAUGGGUAAUGAAGUACAGGAGGGGGUUCAGGUGGAGCUAGUCUCCCAGGUAGUGGAGGAGAUGUCCAUUAUGAGUAAUGGGGUACAGGAGGGGGUUCAGGUGGAGCUAGUCUCCCAGGUCGUGGAGGAGAUGCCCAUUAUGAGUAAUGGGGUACAGGAGGGGGUUCAGGUGGAGCUAGUCUCCCAGGUCGUGGAGGAGAUGCCCA